rnacentral:rRNA from 1 species
UACGGAGGAUGCAAGCGUUAUCCGGAAUGAUUGGGCGUAAAGCGUCCGCAGGUGGCUAUGUGAGUCUGCUGUUAAAGAGUGAGGCUCAACCUCAUAAGAGCAGUGGAAACUACAUGGCUAGAGUGCGUUCGGGGCAGAGGGAAUUCCUGGUGUAGCGGUGAAAUGCGUAGAUAUCAGGAAGAACACCGGUGGCGAAAGCGCUCUGCUAGGCCGCAACUGACACUGAGGGACGAAAGCUAGGGGAGCGAAUGGG